GCCGGCGUGGCGGAAUUGGCAGACGCGCUCGACUCAAAAUCGAGUGGUAGCGAUACCGUGUGGGUUCGAGUCCCUCCGCCGGCA
rnacentral:tRNA from 1 species